rnacentral:rRNA from 1 species
AGUGAACGCUGGCGGCGUGCUUAACACAUGCAAGUCGAACGAGAACGGAAUAUAGCUUGCUAUAUUUGUCAGCUAAGUGGCGCACGGGUGAGUAAUGUAUAGAUAACCUGCCCUUAAGAAAGGAAUAACAGUUGGAAACGACUGCUAAUGCCCUAUAUGCCUUUAAUACAUAAGUAUGCAAGGGAAACGCUUUAGUGCUUAAGGAUGGGUCUGUAUGGUAUCAGCUUGUUGGUGAGGUAAUGGCUCACCAAGGCUAUGACGCCUAACUGGUUUGAGAGGAUGUGCAGUCACACUGGAACUGAGACACGGUCCAGACUCCUACGGGAGGCAGCAGUGGGGAAUAUUGCACAAUGGACGAAAGUCUGAUGCAGCAACGCCGCGUGGAGGAUGACACAUUUCGGUGCGUAAACUCCUUUUAUAUAGGAAGAUAAUGACGGUACUAUAUGAAUAAGCACCGGCUAACUCCGUGCCAGCAGCCGCCGUAAAAC